rnacentral:lncRNA from 10 species
AGAAUCUACAAGGAACUUAAACAAAUUUACAAAAAAAAAAAAUCCCAUCAAAAAGUGGGCAAAGGAUACGAACAGACACUUUCCAAAGGAAGACAUUUAUGCAGCCAACAAACAUAUGAAAAAAAGCUCAUCAUCACUGGUCAUUAGAGAAAUGCAAAUCAAAACCACAAUGAGUGAGAUACCAUCUCACACCAGUUAGAAUGG